rnacentral:tRNA from 1 species
CAAAGUGUAGCUAAAAUAGUUAAAGCAUCUCCCUUACACCGAGAAAACACUUGUGCAAAUCAAGUCACUUUGA